UCUUAUGGAUGAACAAAGAAAGUAGUUUCUUACUAUGGAAUAUACUCCUGGUAAAGAUGCUGUGAA
rnacentral:pre_miRNA from 1 species